AUACGGAGGGUGCAAGCGUUAAUCGGAAUUACUGGGCGUAAAGAGUACGUAGGUGGUCUAUUAAGUCAGAUGAGAAAGCCCCGGGCUUAACCUGGGAACUGCAUUUGAUACUGGUAAACUCGAGUAUGGUAGAGGCGGGUAGAAUUCAUAGUGUAGCGGUGAAAUGCGUAGAUAUUAUGAGGAAUACCAGUGGCGAAGGCGGCCCGCUGGACCAAUACUGACACUGAGGUACGAAAGCGUGGGUAGCGAACAGGAUUAGAAACCCCAGUAGUCC
rnacentral:rRNA from 1 species